AGAGUUUGAUCCUGGCUCAGGACGAACGCUGGCGGCGUGCUUAACACAUGCAAGUCGAACGGAAAGGCCCUUCGGGGUACUCGAGUGGCGAACGGGUGAGUAACACGUGGGUGAUCUGCCCUGCACUUUGGGAUAAGCCUGGGAAACUGGGUCUAAUACCGAAUAUGACCAUGCACUUCCUGGUGUGUGGUGGAAAGCUUUUGCGGUGUGGGAUGGGCCCGCGGCCUAUCAGCUUGUUGGUGGGGUAAUGGCCUACCAAGGCGACGACGGGUAGCCGGCCUGAGAGGGUGACCGACCACACUGGGACUGAGAUACGGCCCAGACUCCUACGGGAGGCAGCAGUGGGGAAUAUUGCACAAUGGGCGCAAGCCUGAUGCAGCGACGCCGCGUGAGGGAUGACGGCCUUCGGGUUGUAAACCUCUUUCAGCACAGACGAAGCGCAAGUGACGGUAUGUGCAGAAGAAGGACCGGCCAACUACGUGCCAGCAGCCGCGGUAAUACGUAGGGUCCGAGCGUUGUCCGGAAUUACUGGGCGUAAAGAGCUCGUAGGUGGUUUGUCGCGUUGUUCGUGAAAACUCACAGCUUAACUGUGGGCGUGCGGGCGAUACGGGCAGACUUGAGUACUGCAGGGGAGACUGGAAUUCCUGGUGUAGCGGUGGAAUGCGCAGAUAUCAGGAGGAACACCGGUGGCGAAGGCGGGUCUCUGGGCAGUAACUGACGCUGAGGAGCGAAAGCGUGGGGAGCGAACAGGAUUAGAUACCCUGGUAGUCC
rnacentral:rRNA from 1 species